rnacentral:lncRNA from 1 species
AAAAAUAUAAUAUAAGAAAAUAUUAUUCCACCUCUAAUUUGUGACGAUAUUAUCAUAAAUUAGAAUAAAAAUAUGAGAAAAAGAAUUGUUCGGAAAAAUUCUUCCUUCUAUCCGAAAGUUUUUUUUCAAUAAAAAAAUAUGUAAAAAAAUAAAAAAUAAAAAGAGGAAAAUUCAUGUAGUCGACCUUUUUUUCAAUUAAAGAGAACUCAUCAC